ensembl:miRNA gmo-mir-11259 gmo-mir-11259
CCACUAGUUUUUUUGUAACAGAUGUUGUAUUGAUUCUCUGCUAUAAUCAACUGUGGGAA